CCCCCAAGAUAUGAACAUAAAUAAAAUAAAAAUAAAUAAACCAAAAAUAAAAGAAUUUAGAGAAGUUAAGAAAUAUCCACACACAAAUAAAAAUAGAUCCAUAGUUACGAUAGAUCUAUUAAAGUUAUCCGCACCCCCUAUAAUUGGUAUCAGAGCUCAUGUCAUUUAAAGUCACGGAAGUAGUAUAUAUUUGGAGUUAUUUGAUAAAUUUAAAGCAACUAUUUUAGAAU
rnacentral:lncRNA from 1 species